rnacentral:rRNA from 1 species
ACACCGGCAGCCCAAGUGGUGGCCAUUUUUAUUGGGCCUAAAGCGUUCGUAGCCGGCCUGAUAAGUCUCUGGUGAAAUCCCGCAGCUUAACUGUGGGAAUUGCUGGAGAUACUAUCAGGCUUGAGGUCGGGAGAGGUUAGAGGUACUCCCAGGGUAGGGGUGAAAUCCUAUAAUCCUGGGAGGACCACCUGUGGCGAAGGCGUCUAACUGGAACGAACCUGACGGUGAGUAACGAAAGCCAGGGGCGCUAACCGGAUUAGAUACCCGGGUAGUCCUGGCCGUAAACGAUGUGGACUUGGUUUUGGGAUGGCCUCGAGCUGCCCCAGUGCCGAAGGGAAGCUGUUAAGUCCACCGCCUGGGAAGUACGGUCGCAAGACUGAAACUUAAAGGAAUUGACGGGG